rfam:Myotis davidii contig322076, whole genome shotgun sequence.
GGAAGUUCUCAGGUAACCCACCCUGGAAUCAGGCUCCCUCCUCUCUGGUUCUGGGUGCAUGGCACGAAAACCGCA